UCGGCCUGCUCCGGAUCCGGCUCCGGUUUCUUGGGAGGCCGCGGCCACGCGGACCGAGGUGGUCCCGCCUUCCUCGGUGCAGCCGGGAUGCUUCGUGCAAGUGCCCGCAGCCUUGCAGCGCCCGCAGCUCCCCGCGGACCCAGAGGCGGACAGACGGGAGGGGAGGCUGGGCCGGGAGAACCCCGUUUCCCCCCGCUUUUUCAGCAGGGCAGAAAGUCCUGUGUUUGUGCCCACAACGGCUUUAGAAAAUGGCCUCAUCUAACCUUUCCAAAGAUGUUAUCCAAGCUGCAAAGUCUUGGCCAUUGGAAGACCUUUCAAGUCCCGAUACCAAAGAGCUUUAGUCUGGAUUAAAUGCAAAAUGCCAAAAUGUCACUUUAAAAGCAAGCACAAGGCUAAGUGCAACCUGACAUGUUUGUAAACCGUGCAAAACAGGCACUUCUGAGAGCCCCCCCCCCCCCGCCCGCCAAGGCACAUUUUGUGCAAAUGCUGUUUGCCCGGAGCAUCAGGAACCGAAAUUCCUGGGAACUCUUUUUCUGGCCAGCAACGGGGAAGUUUGGGCUCACAGAGCGGAUUGUUAAAUCUCUGAAGGAUUUAAGUCAGUGUGUGUCAUGGAAAAGCCAGAGUCCCUCCCAGCUCGAGGUGGCCCCGAAGAGGUGGACCAGGGGCCCCUCCUCUCUGCAUCCCGCUGCUAGAAGCCAGCACACCUUAGGUGCUCCAUAAUGAAACAAGGAUUCUGCCGAGAAGAGAUCCACUGCAAUGCACCUGGCUUUCUAGAAGCAAUAAAUGAAAGUAUCUUAUAGGAAAAAAAAAAAAAGAUUGAUGAAGUCGUGAGGGAGAGGCAGAGAACACAGCAUAAUCCAGCGGUUGGAGACUGGCUUCUGAAACUCCAGCAGGAGAUGCUUUAUCCCUUCCUGGCAGCUCUGCAGUGGCCAGCAAAUAAAUAUUUCCACAUGGAAGCCAAUGGUCCUUCAAAACGUAGCUUGUUCCAUUCGAGAGAUAUACAGCAGGGUCCCCAGCUUUAACGGCAAAGGGCAUUAGCCUUGCCUUUAGGAUUCGUGGAUGUAAACACUGAAUCCAACUCGCACCCCCCUUGAUGCUUCAGGGAACAACGGAGGGACCUCCGCGGACAAAUUACGCCUGCAUUUAAUGCUUUGAUUAUCUGAAGAACAAAAUCCAGCAGUAAUCUUGAGAAGAAGAAUUCACAUUUAAAGUUCGGAAAGUGACAGAGCAAAGAGUGAAGAGAAGCCCACAUUAAAAUGAGAUGGGAUGAGAAGAAGAAGAAAAGAAGGAAAUCCGUGAUCCUGGAGGAAAACCCUUUGAAUAGAACCAAGGCGGAGAUUGGAGGCGACGUCCGCCAGCUCCAAUUUCAGCGGGAGGACAGGCUGCCCCAGAGCCAGGCUUUGUGCCCCUGAAGCGGUGAGCCUUGAAAGACCUGAA